rnacentral:rRNA from 1 species
GACGAACGCUGGCGGCGCGCCUAACACAUGCAAGUCGAACGGAGUUGCCUGAUCUGAUUCUUUCGGGAUGACGAACUUGCAACUUAGUGGCGAACGGGUGAGUAACGCGUGAGGAACCUGCCCCGGAGUGGGGGACAACAGUUGGAAACGACUGCUAAUACCGCAUAAGCCCACAGUACCGCAUGGUACAGAGGGAAAAGGAGCAAUUCGCUUUGGGAUGGCCUCGCGUCUGAUUAGAUAGUUGGUGAGGUAACGGCCCACCAAGGCGACGAUCAGUAGCCGACCUGAGAGGGUGACCGGCCACAUUGGGACUGAGACACGGCCCAGACUCCUACGGGAGGCAGCAGUGGGAAUAUUGCACAAUGGAGGAAACUCUGAUGCAGCGACGCCGCGUGAGUGAAGAAGUAGUUCGCUAUGUAAAGCUCUAUCAGCAGGGAAGAUAGUGACGGUACCUGACUAAGAAGCUCCGGCU